rnacentral:rRNA from 1 species
UAAGCAUAUCAAUAAGCGGAGGAAAAGAAACCAACAGGGAUUGCCCUAGUAACGGCGAGUGAAGCGGCAACAGCUCAAAUUUGAAAUCUGGCUCUUUUAGAGUCCGAGUUGUAAUUUGCAGAGGGCGCUUUGGCUUUGGCAGCGGUCCAAGUUCCUUGGAACAGGACGUCACAGAGGGUGAGAAUCCCGUACGUGGUCGCUAGCUAUUGCCGUGUAAAGCCCCUUCGACGAGUCGAGUUGUUUGGGAAUGCAGCUCUAAAUGGGAGGUAAAUUUCUUCUAAAGCUAAAUAUUGGCCAGAGACCGAUAGCGCACAAGUAGAGUGAUCGAAAGAUGAAAAGCACUUUGGAAAGAGAGUCAAACAGCACGUGAAAUUGUUGAAAGGGAAGCGCUUGCAGCCAGACUUGCUUGCAGUUGCUCAUCCGGGCUUUUGCCCGGUGCACUCUUCUGCAGGCAGGCCAGCAUCAGUUUGGGCGGUGGGAUAAAGGUCUCUGACACGUUCCUUCCUUCGGGUUGGCCAUAUAGGGGAGACGUCAUACCACCAGCCUGGACUGAGGUCCGCGCAUCUGCUAGGAUGCUGGCGUAAUGGCUGUAAGCGGCCCGUCUUGAAACACGGACCAAGGAGUCUAACAUCUAUGCGAGUGUUUGGGUGUCAAGCCCGAGCGCGUAAUGAAAGUGAACGGAGGUGGGAACCCGCAAGGGUGCACCAUCGACCGAUCCUGAAGUUUACGGAAGGAUUUGAGUAAGAGCAUGGCUGUUGGGACCCGAAAGAUGGUGAACUAUGCUUGAAUAGGGUGAAGCCAGAGGAAACUCUGGUGGAGGCUCGCAGCGGUUCUGACGUGCAAAUCGAUCGUCAAAUUUGGGCAUAGGGGCGAAAGACUAAUCGAACUAUCUAGUAGCUGGUUCCUGCCGAA